UGGGGAAUAUUGCACAAUGGGGGAAACCCUGAUGCAGCGACGCCGCGUGGAGGAAGAAGGUCUUCGGAUUGUAAACUCCUGUUGUUGAGGAAGAUAAUGACGGUACUCAACAAGGAAGUGACGGCUAACUACGUGCCAGCAGCCGCGGUAAAACGUAGGUCACAAGCGUUGUCCGGAAUUACUGGGUGUAAAGGGAGCGCAGGCGGGCGAUCAAGUUGGAAGUGAAAUCCAUGGGCUCAACCCAUGAACUGCUUUCAAAACUGAUUGUCUUGAGUAGUGCAGAGGUAGGCGGAAUUCCCGGUGUAGCGGUGGAAUGCGUAGAUAUCGGGAGGAACACCAGUGGCGAAGGCGGCCUACUGGGCACCAACUGACGCUGAGGCUCGAAAGUGUGGGUAGCAAACAGGAUUAGAUACCCUGGUAGUCCACACCGUAAACGAUGAUUACUAGGUGUUGGAGGAUUGACCCCUUCAGUGCCGCAGUUAACACAAUAAGUAAUCCACCUGGGGAGUACGACCGCAAGGUUGAAACUCAAAGGAAUUGACGGGGGCCCGCACAAGCAGUGGAGUAUGUGGUUUAAUUCGACGCAACGCGAAGAACCUUACCAAGUCUUGACAUCCUGCGACGAUGCUAGAAAUAGUAUUUUCCUUCGGGACGCAGAGACAGGUGGUGCAUGGUUGUCGUCAGCUCGUGUCGUGAGAUGUUGGGUUAAGUCCCGCAACGAGCGCAACCCUUAUGGUCAGUUACUACGCAAGAGGACUCUGGCCAGACUGCCGUUGACAAAACGGAGGAAGGUGGGGAUGACGUCAAAUCAUCAUGCCCUUUAUGACUUGGGCUACACACGUACUACAAUGGCGUUAAACAAAGAGAAGCAAGACCGCGAGGUGGAGCAAAACUCAGAAACAACGUCCCAGUUCGGACUGCAGGCUGCAACUCGCCUGCACGAAGUCGGAAUUGCUAGUAAUCGCAGAUCAGCAUGCCACGGUGAAUACGUUCCC
rnacentral:rRNA from 1 species